CCUACGGGAGGCAGCAGUCGGGAAUAUUGCGCAAUGGAGGAAACUCUGACGCAGUGACGCCGCGUAUAGGAAGAAGUUUUUCGGAAUGUAAACUAUUGUCGUUAGGGAAGAAAAUGACGGUACCUGAGUAAGAAGCCCCGGCUAACUACGUGCCAGCAGCCGCGGUAAUACGUAGGGGGCAAGCGUUAUCCGGAUUUACUGGGUGUAAAGGGAGCGUAGACGGCAGUGCAAGUCUGGAGUGAAAGGCGGGGGCUCAACCCCCGGACUGCUCUGGAAACUGUACGGCUGGAGUGCAAGAGAGGUAAGUGGAAUUCCUAGUGUAGCGGUGAAAUGCGUAGAUAUUAGGAGGAACACCAGUGGCGAAGGCGGCUUACUGGACUGUAACUGACGUUGAGGCUCGAAAGCGUGGGGAGCAAACAGGAUUAGAUACCCGAGUAGUC
rnacentral:rRNA from 1 species